CCCUAAAAAGACGGUCUCAGUUCGGAUUGAAGGCUGAAAUUCGCCUUCAUGAAGCUGGAAUUGCUAGUAAUGGCAGGUCAGCAUACUGCCGUGAAUACGUUCCCGGGCCCUUGUACACACCGCCCGUCACACCAUGAGAGUUGGAAAUACCCGAAGCCUGUGAGCUAACUGUAAAGAGGCAGCAGUCGAAGGUAGAGCCAAUGAUUGGGGUGAAGUCGUAACAAGGUAGC
rnacentral:rRNA from 1 species